CUUAAGCAUUAACUGACUUACAAUAUCCCAUCAUUCCUGGGUGAGACGGGCACCUUCAAAGAUGUGGAUUUCCAUCAGUCUCAGUGUCAGCUGCAGUUCUGCCGAUCACGCCACAAGAAAUACUACUAGGAAGUUCUGCCCUGGGAUUCAUGAACUUGUCUGCCCGCAAGCUCUUCUCUUAACAGGUUCCACUGUCUCCAGCACUUUGACAGCCUGUAAUGUUUGGGAUGCUACGGAACCCAUUCCUGGGUCUGGCCUUUUUUAUUUGUUAGCCUUCAGUGUUUCAGUAUAACUGUCACACUGUUAUAGGGUGGCUCCAUUUCAACCGUCUGUCUGUCUGUCUGUCUGUCUGUGCCUGCACGCAUGUAUAUACAUAUACUAGCAUAUCCUCCUCUUUGGACUUUGAAGCCCUAUAGUCUAUUUUGUGUUUGUUGAUUCUCCUCUCUUCAGUUGAGUUCACCUUUUUUUUCUUAUGCUUACCCUAAUCCAGGCAUCACAAAGAAACGACAUAAAUAUGCACUAAUUGAAAAAC